CUGGACGUAAUAGAAUGGUAAGUUACCUUUCUGGGGGACAGGUGGUAGCAGGUUCAAAUCCUGUCGUCCCGACCA
rnacentral:tRNA from 1 species